rnacentral:rRNA from 1 species
AGUGAACGCUGGCGGUAGGCCUAACACAUGCAAGUCGAACGGCAGCACAAUAAGAGCUUGCUCUUACGGGUGGCGAGUGGCGGACGGGUGAGGAAUACAUCGGAAUCUACUUUUUCGUGGGGGAUAACGUAGGGAAACUUACGCUAAUACCGCAUACGACCUACGGGUGAAAGCAGGGGAUCUUCGGACCUUGCGCGAUUGAAUGAGCCGAUGUCGGAUUAGCUAGUUGGCGGGGUAAAGGCCCACCAAGGCGACGAUCCGUAGCUGGUCUGAGAGGAUGGUCAGCCCCACUGGAACUGAGACACGGUCCAGACUCCUACGGGAGGCAGCAGUGGGGAAUAUUGGACAAUGGGCGCAAGCCUGAUCCAGCCAUACCGCGUGGGUGAAGAAGGCCUUCGGGUUGUAAAGCCCUUUUGUUGGGAAAGAAAAGCAGCAGGUUAAUACCCCGCUGUUCUGACGGUACCCAAAGAAUAAGCACCGGCUAACUUCGUG